CAGUCGCCAGCGGUAAGACAGAGGGUGCGAGCGUUAAUCGGAUUUACUGGGCGUAAAGCGUGCGUAGGCGGCUUCUUAAGUCGGAUGUGAAAUCCCUGAGCUUAACUUAGGAAUUGCAUUCGAUACUGGGAAGCUAGAGUAUGGGAGAGGAUGGUAGAAUUCCAGGUGUAGCGGUGAAAUGCGUAGAGAUCUGGAGGAAUACCGAUGGCGAAGGCAGCCAUCUGGCCUAAUACUGACGCUGAGGUACGAAAGCAUGGGGAGCAAACAGGAUUAGAUACCCCCGUAGUCCCUGUCUCUUAUU
rnacentral:rRNA from 1 species